rnacentral:rRNA from 1 species
UACGUAGGCAGCGAGCGUUGUUCGGAGUUACUGGGCGUAAAGCGUGCGUAGGCGGUGUCUUAAGUUUGUUGUGAAAUCUCCCGGCUUAACCGGGAGGGUGCGGCGAAUACUGAGAUGCUGGAGUGCCGGAGAGGUAAGCGGGAAUUCCUGGUGUAGCGGUGAAAUGCGUAGAUAUCAGGAGGAACACCUGCGGUGUAGACGGCUUACUGGACGGUAACUGACGCUGAGACGCGAAAGCGUGGGGAGCAAACAGG